UGGAGAAAAAGUUGAAAAUACAUUCAAAAAACUAUCAGAAAAAUUAUUCACAAUUUCACUUAAUAGAUCAACACAAAACAGUGAAUGCUCUUCAAUUGGGUGCUUCAUGGCUUCCAANACGUUAAAAUGCACCUUCUCAUCUCCUAUCUCCAUGGUCAGUGUUCCUGCAUGCACAUCUAUCUUGGUUCGUGCUGUCAUCAUGAAAGGUCUUCCCAAUAUAAUAGUUGAUGACUUG
rnacentral:lncRNA from 1 species